GUCUCCGGCCAUGCCACCCUGAACAAGCCCGAUCUCAUCUGAUCUUGGAUAAGCAGGGUCGGGCCUGGUUAGUAUUUGGAUGGGAGACCACCUCGGAAUACCAGGUGCUGUAGGCA
rnacentral:rRNA from 1 species